CCAGGUUAAAGAAAUGUGUUCCUCAUUCCAGCCCUUAUCUACCAAGCUGCCUCUUAAAUUAAACAAAAUUUUAGAAUUACAUUCAUCAAAGGUACAAAUUAUAGCUAGUCAUUUUCUAAUUCUUUUUCAAGAUCUGCUUUUCUUGACCUAAUAAUGACUAGGAAAUUUGUGAUUUCCCUGCCCUGUUACAUCUUCCUGAGGACAGAGCCUACAUAGAAGUUCAGCAAAUAUCUAGUCUUUUCCACACCUGGGAAGAUGUGAGUAUAGGCCACUAUGUGUUUUCCUUUCAAAAUAGCCCCUUGGCCGUGCAGCCCUAAGCCAGGCUGAUCCAGCCUUGCCUCGCCCCUCUCUGCAAGAGACUCGUGGGUGCAGGAUGAUUGAGGGGGCCCCAGCCUCCCCAGCAGCUGCUGACUUGCGCUUGGAAAUUCAAUCCUCUCAAGCACAUAUUUGCUGGUCUUGAGAGUAGUAACUCUGUUAGAAAUUUGUUAGCCUUAUGCAGCACAUCCAUUCUGGCUGAAACCAUGUUUUGAGAAUAGAGGCCCUGUGUUGCUGUCUGGGCUCCGGUGGCCCUGGAGAUACCUGAAGGCAGAGGGCGACCCUUUGACGUCUCAGGGCUAUAUAUCAGUUCCCUAACAGUGAAGCCCACAACAAGCAAGAAUUUCUGACAUGACAUGGGAAAAGCUGAAGAAGUCAGUCUUUGGGGUGUGUUUUCAUCUAGGAGGUGGCUUGAGAUGGAUUCAUGGCAAAUCACAAUAAAUUAUUUAUCAGAUAAUA
rnacentral:lncRNA from 1 species